CGGCCAGACUCCUACGGGAGGCAGCAGUGGGGAAUAUUGCACAAUGGGGGGAACCCUGAUGCAGCGACGCCGCGUGGGUGAAGGAGUGCUUCGGCAUGUAAAGCCCUAUCGGCAGGGAAGAAGCAAGACGGUACCUGACUAAGAAGCCCCGGUUAACUACGUGCCAGCAGCCGCGGUAAUACGUAGGGGGCGAGCGUUAUCCGGAUUCACUGGGUGUAAAGGGGGCGCAGACGGCAAUGCAAGCCAGGAGUGAAAGCCCGGGGCCCAACCCCGGGACUGCUCUUGGAACUGCAUGGCUGGAGUACAGGAGGGGCAGGCGGAAUUCCUAGUGUAGCGGUGAAAUGCGUAGAUAUUAGGAGGAACACCGGUGGCGAAGGCGGCCUGCUGGUCUGUGACUGACGUUGAGGCCCGAAGGCGUGGGGAGCAAACAGGAUUAGAUACCCCGGUA
rnacentral:rRNA from 1 species